rnacentral:rRNA from 1 species
AGAGCGAACGCUGGCGGCAGGCCUAACACAUGCAAGUCGAACGGACUCUUCGGAGUUAGUGGCGGACGGGUGAGUAACACGUGGGAACGUGCCUUUAGGUUCGGAAUAGCUCCUGGAAACGGGUGGUAAUGCCGAAUGUGCCCUUCGGGGGAAAGAUUUAUCGCCUUUAGAGCGGCCCGCGUCUGAUUAGCUAGUUGGUGAGGUAAAGGCUCACCAAGGCUACGAUCAGUAGCUGGUCUGAGAGGAUGACCAGCCACAUUGGGACUGAGACACGGCCCAAACUCCUACGGGAGGCAGCAGUGGGGAAUCUUGCGCAAUGGGCGAAAGCCUGACGCAGCCAUGCCGCGUGAAUGAUGAAGGUCUUAGGAUUGUAAAAUUCUUUCAGUAGGGACGAUAAUGACGGUACCUACAGAAGAAGCCCCGGCUAACUUCGCGCCAGCAGCCGC